rnacentral:tRNA from 1 species
GGGGAGGUGCCAGAGUGGUCGAAUGGGGCCGCCUGCUAAGCGGUUGUAGGGUGUAUAGCUCUACCGAGGGUUCGAAUCCCUCCCUUCCCG